rnacentral:lncRNA from 1 species
GGCCACCAACACCAGCAGCUAUGGACAUGCAGGCUGCUGCCCUCCCUGAUGCAUCAUGCGCGCAGGCCACAAGAAGGGAAGAACACUGCUCUGCUACUUCCUGGGUCUCCAUGGAAGGUACUGGAGUAAUUCAGUCAAGAUAAAACUGCAACUUACUGGAGUUAUGCUCCAUGUUAUGCUUGCUGCAACUUACUGGAGUACAAUUUGGAAUCUUUUCAUAAACUACAUUAUGCAUUCAAUUGUUUUCAGGAACAAUAAAUUUUCUCACUCAAUGUGAAAAUGAACAUUGAUUUUUUUGUCCCUUGAAGGAGAUGAGGUUUAUAUUUGCUUACAUGACCAGGAACAUUAGGAGAUGUUUAAAUGAGUAAUUAAAUAAGAAGAGUUUAUCCGGAAAUAUGAUACCUUUCUUACCUGUACAAAAAUGAUGGCUAUAUCCACAGUAUUGCUCUUAUUCCCUUCUUUUGAUGUAGACAUGAGCUCAUUUUCUUGUCAAGAUUAGAAGCUUAUCAAUCAAUGAAAAUUCUGAAUUUAUUUUGUGCACAUGCUUGUUUGGCCAAUCAGGAAAUUAAGAAUUUUGCUUCCUCCCCGUACAAACCCUAGCCCUCUGAUCUAAUCCGAAUGGCCCCUUCUCCGUCGCUGCCACCGGCAAGCAGUGCAUACUGCACGCACCAGUUGUAGCUCACCGGCAGCCAAACGUGCAUAUAAAUCACCUAGCCUCCAGAGGUUACCUUAUUUGUUCAUGCUUGUAAGUCAGGCCAUCAGUGUUGGUGCAUAUAAAUCAGGAUCCUUGAUUUUCCAGUGACUGCUCUCUCAUGUAUUUCUAUUUCCAUAUGGCAGAGUAAUUAGCAUUUCUAUCACCCUCCUUAACUGAGUUUGUGAGUGAUUUUAGUUCCAUGAAGAACAUAAGAACUCAUUGGUAUAUAUGGGCCCCCAGUCCACUUAUUGUAGAUGUCUGAUCCUCUGCAUUUCCUUCGCUGGCUUUGAAUUCUUAAUGCAGAUGUUUUGCUUCUUCUUCAGUCAUCCAUACCUCAAGUUUGAUAUUGUUUAAUUAUUUAACAAAUAUCAAAGCAUGUCCAUAUCUUCAGACGCAAGCUAUAUACUCUAAUUGCGGAGAUUUUCUUUCUUUGUUAAUCUCUUGAAUAAGUUGGACCAGCUGUAUAUCUCUUUUUACACCACGAUUUGUUUUUCAUGUUGGAGUAGAUAUUGGCCCACUGAUAAUACUAAUAUUGGUCCAUUGAAGGUACUAAUUUCAGAAAGAUCAUAUGGGUGCAUACCAGUAUCAACUAUUAAGGGAGCAAAGUAAUUACUUGGCAUUCCUUAUUGUUGUGAUAGUUCAUAUUUGUUUGCUAUAUAGAUGCUCUUCAUAGACUAACUGUGGUUUAAAAAUUCAAAAUCCUUUGUAUCUCUUUGUUAUUAUUUGGUUCAGUACCUGCUGCAUUCCUAUCUUCUACAUUAUUGAUUGUCUGAUGUCUUUGUAGGUGAGAAAUAGAUGAUGGGAGAACGGGGGAAGAUAUAAAUGCCUUGAUUGAAUAAAUAAAUGGAGGAUUCAUGGAGCUUCACUAACGGAUAGCAUCACACUGUCGCCUGAAAUUGCAGUAGUGUAUACACCCAGGG